rfam:Dipodomys ordii contig_26036, whole genome shotgun sequence.
GGGAAGUUGGCUCAGUGGUAGAGUGCUUGCCCUUGCAAGCAUGAGGCCCUGGGUUCGAUUCCUCAACACCACA